rnacentral:rRNA from 1 species
CCUACGGGAGGCAGCAGUGGGGAAUAUUGCACAAUGGGGGAAACCCUGAUGCAGCGACGCCGCGUGAGUGAAGAAGUAAUUCGUUAUGUAAAGCUCUAUCAGCAGGGAAGAAAAUGACGGUACCUGAGUAAGAAGCCCCGUCUAACUACGUGCCAACAGCCGCGGUAAUACGUAGGGGGCAAGCGUUAUCCGGAUUUACUGGGGGUAAAGGGGGGGUAGACGGCAUUGCAGGUUUGGAGUGAAAGGCGGGGGCCCAACCCCCGGACUGCUCUGGAAACUGUACGGCUGGAGUGCAGGAGAGGUAAGUGGAAUGCCUAGUGUAGCGGUGAAAUGCGUAGAUAUUAGGAGGAACACCAGUGGCGAAGGCGGCUUACUGGACUGUAACUGACGUUGAGGCUCGAAAGCGUGGGGAGCAAACAGGAUUAGAUACCCCUGUAAUC